CACUGCAGCCUCAACCUCCUGGGCUUAAGUGAUCCUCCCAUCUCAGUCUCCCAAGUAGCUGGGUCCACACCACAGGUGUGCAUCACCACGCCCGGCUAAUUUUUUUUUUUUUUUUUUUUUUGUAGAGACAGAGUUUCUCUGUGAUGCCCAGGCUGGUGUCAAACUCCUGCACUUCAGACAUCUUCCUGCCUCAGCCUCCCAUAGUGCUGGGAUUACAGGCAUGUGCUACCUUUUUCUUUAAAUCUCCUGUAACAAUUUUUUUCUUAACCUAAUCAUCUUGCCAUCUUAUUUUCAGAAUCCACUUGAAAAAAAUCCUGGGUAGCUGUCGUUUAACCUUUUUUUGAUUCCUUAGGGUAAAUGUUGCCAUGAUUUCUAAUUUAUAAUUUGCAUGGCUUGUGUUUGCUCUGCUGUUUACUGUUCCUUUAAUGUAUUCAGAUCAAUGCAGGUAAAUCAUUUCCACUGAACUGAAUGGCGGAUGCUCUUGGGGACCACUCACUAUUUACCUGGGCGCUGUCCUUAGAGAGGUAGAGAUGGGAGCUGAGUUCAUGACAUUUCCAUCAGAAGGACUGACUUGCAUACUUUAUUUUCUUUGUGUUCAUUGGAUUAGCAGCACUAGGAACAAGCUUUCUCUGCAAGCUUUCCUGUUUGGAUGAACUUCAUUAUGUAAACACCAAGUGGGUUUGUCUCCUUUCUCCUCCUUGGGAGCUGAUUAUUGUCUCCCAAUUCUGAAAACACAAUCUCAGUUCGAAGUGAUCCAGUUACUUGUUAGCUAAAGGCUCUGCUUUCCAUAGUUGUUCUCACUAGUUCGAGGUGAAGAAACAGUUCUCAGUAGAGUAAUUGCCAAAGGUCUCCUGGUUUGCCCUCUCUUCAGACCUCACCCAACACCGUAGAGGACGUUCUCUAUGUCCUCCUCUCUCACUCACCAUCUGUGCACUCCAGAGAAAGCCUAAACUGUGUCAGAGAAAAGCCAUCCCACGAGCUUUCUUUCUAACCAUGAGCAUGGUCUGGGGAUGCUGUUAACACAGCACACAGUUCUCCUACAGCUUAUCCACGACCUUAUUUAAGGGAUAUCAGCUGGAUUUGUCAGAAUUUUCUGUUUCUCAGAAAGUUGCACAGCCUUCUCAGGCAGGGAAGUUAUCCACUGAUUCCUUGUGUCUUUCUUGAGUUUGGCAGAGCCUGCUCUUUACCCAGAAGUAAGCAUGCACAGUGGUUGGCUGGCACCAAGCGUGGUUAGUACCAUUCCUUUGUUUCUGCCAUUUGUUGAGAGUUUUGGAGCUUUCCCUUUAUUGAUACUUCUCUCUAAUCAUUUUGGUCAGUUUCUGGGGACAGAGGUUUAAAUGCCCAUUUUCUUUUCUUUUCUUUUCUUUUCUUUUUCUUUUCUUUUCUUUUUUUUUUUUUCUUUGAGACGGAAUCUCACUCUGUCGCCCAGGCUGGAGUGCAGUGGUGCGAUCUUGGCUCACUGCAACCUCCACCUCCCAGGUUCAAGCGAUUCUCCUGCCUCGGCCUCCUGAGUAGCUGGGAUUACAGGCGUGUGCCACCACGCCCAGCUACUUUUUGUGUUUUUAGCAGAGACAGGGUUUCACCAUGUUGGUGAGGCUGGUCUCGAACUCCUGACCUCUUGAUCUGCCUGCCUUGGCCUCCCACAGUGCUGGGAUUACAGGCGUGAGCCACUACCCCCGGCCUAAAUGCCCAUUUUCAAUUCGCUCACCUAUUUCAUAAGUAUUUAGAGUGCUUAAUAGGUCCCAAUCACUGUGAACGGGUCUCUAUUAUCUUAAGCUAUUAGCUGUCAGAUACAAACCCACUCUUUGUGACCCUGGAUGUACAGUCCUGACAGUGGGCUCCCACUAGGCUCUGCCAACAGGGAGGACUAGGGGGAGCUUGGAAGAAGAAGUGGAAGCCCAUGUCUUCCUGUUUGCUUCUGCUUUUUUUUUUUUUUUUUUUUGAGACGGAGUCUCGCUCUCUCGCCAGGCUGGAGUGCAGUGGUGCGAUCUCGGCUCACUGCAAGCUCCACCUCCCAGGUUCACGCCAUUCUCCUGCCUCAGUCUCCCGAGUAGCUGAGACUACAGGCGCCCACCACCACACCCGGCUAAUUUUAUUUUUUUGUGUUUUUAGUAGAGACGGGGUUUCACCGUGUUAGCCAGGAUGGUCUCGAUCUCCUGACCUCGAGAUCCACCCAUCUCGGCCUCCCAAAGUUGCUGCUGUUUUUGUUAGCAUCGCCAAACAAUGGUUUUUACCCUACAGUUAGUACCAACUUUGCCCACACACUCCCC
rnacentral:lncRNA from 1 species